GUCUACGGACACACCACCCUGAACACGCCCUAUCUCCUCUGAUCUCGGAAGCUAAGCAGGGCCAGGCCUGGUUAGUACUUGGAUGGGAGAAUGAAGGCUGAAUUUGCCCAGCAGUAGAAU
ensembl:rRNA 5S_rRNA 5S ribosomal RNA